UACGUAGGGUCCAAGCGUUAAUCGGAAUUACUGGGCGUAAAGCGUGCGCAGGCGGUUCGCAAAGUCAGGUGUGAAAUCCCCGGGCUUAACCUGGGAACUGCGCUUGUAACUAGCGGGCUAGAGUACGGCAGAGGGGGGUGGAAUUCCACGUGUAGCAGUGAAAUGCGUAGAGAUGUGGAGGAACACCGAUGGCGAAGGCAGCCCCCUGGGCUAGUACUGACGCUCAUGCACAAAAGCGUGGGGAGCAAACAGG
rnacentral:rRNA from 1 species